UACGAAGGGGGCUAGCGUUGCUCGGAAUUACUGGGCGUAAAGCGCACGUAGGCGGCUCUUUAAGUCGGGGGUGAAAUCCUGGAGCUCAACUCCAGAACUGCCUUCGAUACUGAAGAGCUCGAGUCCGGGAGAGGUGAGUGGGAACUGCGAGUGUAGAGGUGAAAUUCGUAGAUAUUCGCAAGAACACCAGUGGCGAAGGCGG
rnacentral:rRNA from 1 species